rnacentral:rRNA from 1 species
CCCAGACUCCUACGGGAGGCAGCAGUGGGGGAUAUUGCACAAUGGGGGGAACCCUGAUGCAGCGACGCCGCGUGGGUGAAGGAGCGUUUCGGCGCGUAAAGCCCUAUCGGCAGGGAAGAAGGAGGACGGUACCUGACUAAGAAGCCCCGGCUAACUACGUGCCAGCAGCCGCGGUAAUACGUAGGGGGCAAGCGUUAUCCGGAUUUACUGGGUGUAAAGGGGGCGCAGACGGCAGCGCAAGCCAGGAGUGAAAGCCCGGGGCCCAACCCCGGGACUGCUCUUGGAACUGCGCGGCUGGAGUGCAGGAGGGGCAGGCGGAAUUCCUGGUGUAGCGGUGAAAUGCGUAGAUAUCAGGAGGAACACCGGUGGCGAAGGCGGCCUGCUGGACGGUGACUGACGCUGAGGCUCGAAAGCGUGGGGAGCAAACAGGAUUAGAUACCCCCGUA